rnacentral:lncRNA from 1 species
UUUCUGGGAACCAAGCAGGGGUCGCAGGAGGGCGGGGAUGGGUCAGCGGGGAUCUCUGAGUGGGGUUCGGCUGAGAGAGGCCACAGUUUCAUCUUUGGGAAGCUACCCUGGGCCGGCCACGCGCCGUGAGCCGGACUGGCGACGCCCCCCUGCCUCCACCGUGCUCCUUCACCCGAGAAAUUCAGCUCAGCCCCAGCCUCUCGGCAACCUCCCUUUGGCUCCGCCUUUUAAAGGACCUUUACGCAAGCUUUACUGUGAAGUGUUUAUGUGCCAGGUACCAUGUGUAGAAGCGCUGGCCCAGAGAUGAAGAUGAAGUUUCUAUCCUUAAGGCAUGCAAUGUGGGAGAUGAACAGAGACAGGCAAGAGAGCCACAGAAGAGAAAGUGAUGUGAAGACAGAAGCAGGGAUUGGAGUGAUCCAUCUACAAGCCAAGAAAUACCAAUGGUUGCUGCCAGCCACCAGGAUCUAGGAGAGUGGCAUGGAACAGAUUUUCCCUUAGAGCUUCCAGAAAGAACUAACCCUGUCAACACUGUGAUUCUGGACAGUGAGAGAGAAAUUUCUAUUGUUUUAAGCCAUCAAGUUUGUGGUAAUUUGUUAUGGCAACCGUAGGAAACAUCACCCAGUAAAUCCAAAUUAAAUAUUAUCCCAAUUUUUGCUU